rnacentral:rRNA from 1 species
CCACGGGUGGCUGCAGUGGGGAAUAUUGGACAAUGGGCGAAAGCCUGAUCCAGCCAUGCCGCGUGUGUGAAGAAGGCCUUCGGGUUGUAAAGCACUUUCAGUGGGGAAGAAAGCCUUGGGGCUAAUACCCUCGAGGAAGGACAUCACCCACAGAAGAAGCACCGGCUAACUCCGUGCCAGCAGCCGCGGUAAUACGGAGGGUGCGAGCGUUAAUCGGAAUUACUGGGCGUAAAGCGCGCGUAGGCGGUCUGAUAAGCCGGUUGUGAAAGCCCCGGGCUCAACCUGGGAACGGCAUCCGGAACUGUCAGGCUAGAGUGCAGGAGAGGAAGGUAGAAUUCCCGGUGUAGCGGUGAAAUGCGUAGAGAUCGGGAGGAAUACCAGUGGCGAAGGCGGCCUUCUGGACUGACACUGACGCUGAGGUGCGAAAGCGUGGGUAGCAAACAGGAUUAGAUACCCGUGAGUC